GUCUCAAGAACAUCUUUCUCUGUCUGAGCUGUUCCUAACUGCUUUCAACUACAGUGGCAGGGUUAAAGUCCUUGCUAGUUCAUUGCUGGAUCAUGACUGUAGGUUUCUGUGUGUCCACACAGUAGCAGCGUGGAAGAUACAACACUCUUCACAUGAUCUUGGACAUAAAGGCUUCAGCUUCUUGCUUGGUGUUGGAUCUCAUGUAGUCAAACACUUUUCUGAGGGACAUCUUCCAUUGAAAACUCCGAUUCAAUAAUGUGAAAAAUUUUCUGCAGAAACAGAGAACACAAUAGAAUUGGUCAACAUUUUUACUUUCAAAUACUUUUUGAUGGAAAAAUGAAAAGACACCGAGAGAUGAAUCAGUGCUGUAAGAAAUUGUUGACAAUCAACUGGCUGUCUGCAACCACAGCUGAUGGUAAAAAGUAUGAACUUUAAAAGAAUACAGCUGCUUGAAAUAAAAACUAAAAAGGACUGAAUAUGUGUGCAGAAGUGCAAAGAACCCUUUAGAACAUGUACCUGGAGAGUCUUCCCUUGCUGCAGGAAGAUAACAGAGUAAGGGAGAAGAGCAUGAAGACCACUGCCAAGUCAAUGCAGCUCCUUGUACACUGAGAGCAAACCACACAGCUCACCACAAGACAGAAACUAUUGUGAUUUCUAACUACUCUGCAUUGAAGUGAUAUUCCUAGUUCUACUUGCUACAAAUAUGACUUUGGUCACCCUUCACCAUUUUGACUCUCUUUAGUACACACUGAAGAUGACUCCAAUCAGAAUUUGCCAUCCUGAGUCUGCUCUCAGCUGUGAGAGACAGACAACCAGUAAAAUGUUUGGAAAUAGUAGGCUGGAAGUGUAGAGCCCGAGUUAUGUCCCUAAUUGGAAGACAGAGUACCUGGUCCAUUCUUGUGUCAUUAUGAGGUAGUUGCUGGCUGCCCUGGAGGUGAUUGUCCCCAGCCUCCCAGCCUGGCACCAGGGGCUUUCCCUCAGUCCCACUGGGAGAAGGUGGGAGGUGGGAAGGUGAGACACAGUGGAUGAAUCCUUGUGAGCGAGUCACUUUCUGACCUCUCCAUCUCCAACAAGUGUGAUGUCCUAGAUGUGAAAAAUGCUAAUUUAAUUUGAUGGCAUAGAGCUGUUGUAAUAAUUUCUUCAGUGGUGGGAUGGAGCAUGGUGUGGAGCCAGUGCCUGCAGUUUUGCUGAGUUGAGUGGGUGAAGGAGAAGGGUUUCUGCACAACUGCCCAUUGGAGCGUGGCUGGCUCCAGCCCCCUGUUUGCCUGGAUGUUCAGAAGGCCACCUCACCCAUCAGUCCCUUGGGAGAACAUGAGCCUGGACAAGCACCUUCCUGCCCUGACAUGUGAGCUCCUUCUGCUUUUGUGAAGCAGCAAAAGUAGAAGGACACCAUUGCUAUGACAGUCCUCAGGCUUCAGCAGGGGUCAGGGGCAGUCCUUGAACCUAGAAAGGGUUCUGGACACAGGGACCAUGACACUGUGGGUUCAAAAUCUGCAAUUACUUGUGACAUGAUAGAAACCAGGUUCCUCUGGCAGUGAUGCUCACCCUCACAGAGGUGGCCUCGUGCGUGCAGGUAUAACAGUGUCCUGCCUUACCACAGCCUGUGAAAGCUAAUGGCCAAAAGGAUGGCCCCUGGGACCAGGUUGCACAUCCUUCCAAAGUUAUCCCUUACAGUCCAUCAGAGGGCAAGGGCUCUGAAGUGUUCCCCACAUCUUGCAAGGCACUUAGUGCAAAAGAAAUGUUGGUGAAAUAUGAAUGGAGAUGUUGUCAGGGAAAGACCACACAAUGCUGAGCAGAGAGCUGAGCCAAGGAUCCUCAGAAUGUUCCAGUGAGGAGUGCUCAGCAGAGUGUUCCUGAGGAAAUCAGUGUCUCCCACUGUGACAAUGCCCUUGAGGUAUUUCUGAAUUUAUCCAGCAAACAUAUAUCUGUAUGUGUAUUCACCAGAAAUGCUGCAAGCACAACAGAACCUCAGCUGUCCAUAUAUUUUAUCAUACUAUUUAAAAGCAGGAAGGCAUGCAAAUGCUCUCCAACAGUUAGAUAGGAACAGCUAAAGACAAUUAAAAUGUAGAGAGAAAAGGGUUGGUGAUGACUGUAUAAAUAGUGAGGAUUUUAACCCCAGUUAAAUUCUCACUGAUAUGAUUUUAUUCCAAAGAGAUGGACAGAUCUGCAGUCCCAUGUGCUGUGAAGUCCAAACUCACUCCCCUUCUGCAGUAAUCCCACCCUCUAUCUCCCAGACGUUAAAUCCUGAAAAGUUCUGGUGAAUUCAUUGGCAAGAGCCACCAUUGGCAAGGCUCCAGCCUUGGAGCACCCCAAGCACAGCAGCUGCUCCAGCUCCCCCCACUCCCACACUGAGCUUUCACUGCAAGUCUGGCUAUGUAGUGCUGGACAGCCUGUGAGAAAUACAUUACAGGCUGACCAUACAUACCAACAUCUGUAGGUUCAAAACAUCUGUAUACAGCUCUCCUGGGAGCCCAGCAGAGAUAUCAGGGGAAUGUAAAAGAGGUAAAAGAUUUUUUACCUUAGUAAUAUUACUCCAUGGAAUGCAUGUGAGAUACAAUGACCUUAUCAGACUGCAGCAUCCUCCUCCAGCCCAUCUUAGGGGUGGUGAACAAAGGGAAAUAGAACUCAGGCUGAUUGGAAGAGGCCAGGAAAAGGGACAGUUCUGGUGAUGGCUGAUGAACAGCGUGUCUUGACUAUCCCUUCAUAACUUAAAACUUGAAGUGUUUUGGUUUUGGCUUUUUUUUUGCACAUUUGCAAAUUGCAGUUUAGAAAAUACCUGUAGCUCAGGGUGAUAGGAAUGGGAAAAGCUGACUAUAAAGUACAUGGUUAUUCCUAGUUGGAUAUUUCUCCAUUGCUGAUGCAGGUGGGAAAUUGGAGCUGCUGUGACUCAUCAAUUUUUCCUCUUCAUGGUGUCAAGUAUGAGUGUCACUCUAUAUUCAGAGAUAUCAAGGAUGAUAAAAAAAAUACCAUGAAAACAAGCCAAAAAACAAAAACAAGCCAAGCAAUUGGGAAGUCCUAAACCACUGAAGUGCAGGACAGGAUCUGCUAACAAAAAUUAAAAUUAACACUCAACUUUCUGGAAGGAAUCACCAUAGAUUUGAUUCUGUGAUAGCAUUGACUUAGUGACACCACUGGAAAUUGGGAAUUCAAGCUGAGCUUUUCAAGACACCACAGUCCGUUAGAAGUAGAAAUGUUAUUAAAAUGUAAUGGGAUUUUGGAAAAUAAUAUGUGUAGGUUCCUUUUAAGUCCCAGCAAGUUAGAUUCAUUUCAAGGGCAAGAUUUGUAGCAAGCAUAGCCAGAGAAAAUCUAUUAGAAAUGAAAAGCUUUAAUCCAAGGCAGUUGUCUACUGAGGUAUGUAGGUACCACCAGAUUUACACUUGAGCGUUAUUACUUGAGCAUUAUUCCAGUCUAUGCUCCAAUUUCAAAGGUGUAUCCUUUACUUGUUUCUUAAAAUUCUUUAUUAAAGUGAUACAAAAAUGAAGAAACAAAAUCUUUGUGCCUGGGUGCCAGAUAUAUCAAGAAAACAUGUCUGGGGCUUUUUUCUGCAUUUGUGAAGUACCUAGCACAUAAGGAGCUGUACUAGCCCAAGAUUAAGAAUUUGAGAGUUGUCAUGAUGAAGAUUUUAGAAGCCUAUUUGUACAUUCAAUUUUGUCUAGAGUCCUGUUUCCAAAACUUUUACAAAGCCUUUUUCUCAAAAAUCCUGCAGGGCACAAAAGGCCCACAGACUCGAGAAGAUGCUGCAGAUAAUAAUAAUCAACAAUUCCAAUAAAAAGCACUAGUGAAACAUGAAUUCUUCCUGAUCACACCAGCAGUCCAAGGGCUUCAACCUUCUGAAAACUGUUAUCAGCAGAUGAAGAGGAAGAGAGUAGUGUAAGACCUGGGAAAAAAAGAAAGUGUGACCCAUGACAGAUAUACACUCCACAAGUAGGCUGUGCUUAUGUCUCUGUUUUGCCCUGCUGAGGCAUCUGACAUAUGAAAGUGUGCCUGUACAGACAGUCAAAAACAGCAGAGCAGCAGCAAGAUCCUCAACAAGUCUGCAGUGAUGAAUUUCUUGCUUUCUUGGACUCAGGAAUGUGAUAAUGGGUGACCACACUGAUUUGCUGUAGACUCUGUGUAACCCUGCAAUGCCCACCACAGCUAAAGGUGCCAGACACAUUUCCAGCACCCUAGACACCCCUCCUUACUGGAGGUAAGCUGCUUUUGAUCCAUGCAGCCACAUCCUUAUCUUUACACAACUGGUCCUUCACAUACCUCUUGUAUGAUCUGUUUACACCCAGGACCAAAUGGCAGGGUUAUCCUUGGGGAAUUCAGAUGGAAAUAUAAAAGUCAUUCAGGUCAGAAGGUCAUUAAGCACUGACUAACAAUGCAGUGCCUUAUGUCCUAGGAUAUGUAGAUCCAAUACUGAAGCGGCAGGAAAUCUGUUAGCUAAGCUAGAGUAAAAAAAUAUGGUAAAAAUUCUAUCUUUUAAUAUCUAUAGAUAGUUUCUUUAAAACACUUUUUAUGAGGAUUAGAAAUAUAAUCAGUUUUUCUGCCUGUUCCAUAUAGCCAUUUCUCAUAAAAGGAAAAACUGUAGGUUUGCAAAACCUCAAACGCCUCUGCAGCCCAAGGGUAACGUAGUUAGCUGACUGUAUUGGAUAACUCAAUCUCAUUAGCAGCUUUUCCAUGCACAGUGAAAGCUAGGAGAGUGCAUGCUUCUGCAUGCCCAUCACUCCACUGUGUAUUGUGUUUUGUGAAUUGCCACCUCUCAAGCCUGUCAAGGUCUCUCUGGAUGGCAUCCCCUCCCUCCAGCAUGUCAAUCAGACCACACAGCUUGGUGUCACUGGCAAACUUGCUGAGGGUGCACUCAAUGCCACUUUCCACGUCUCUGACAAAGUUGUUAAACAGCACCAGUCACAGCACCAACCCCUGAGGGAUGCCACUCAUGCUGCUCGACACUUGGACAUUGAGCUGCUGACUGCAGCUAUUUCAGUGUCUGCACAAUUCCUAUCCACCAACUGGUCCAUCUGUCAAAUCCACAUCUCUGCAGAUUAAAGACAAGAAUAUUGUACAGGACAUUGUAAAUUUGUGCACUAGAUUAUGGCUGUUGCUCUUCCCUCAUCCACCAAUGUUGUAAUCCCAUUGUAGAAGGCCACCAAAUUUGUCAGGCACCCUGCUCUUAAUGAAUCCAU